UACAGAGGGGGCGAGCGUUAUUCGGAAUUAUUGGGCGUAAAGGGCGCGUAGGCGGCUUUUCAAGUGACGGGUGAAAUCCCUCGGCUUAACCGAGGAACUGCCUGUCAGACUGGAAGGCUUGAGACCGGGAGAGGUGAGUGGAAUUCCCAGUGUAGCGGUGAAAUGCGUAGAUAUUGGGAGGAACACCAGUGGCGAAGGCGGCUCACUGGACCGGUACUGACGCUGAGGCGCGAAAGCGUGGGGAGCAAACAGG
rnacentral:rRNA from 1 species